rnacentral:rRNA from 1 species
GACGAACGCUGGCGGCGUGCUUAACACAUGCAAGUCGAACGGAAAGGCCCCUUUGGGGGUACUCGAGUGGCGAACGGGGGAGGAACACGUGAGUAACCUUCACUUGACUUCAGGAUAACGUCAGGAAACGGGGGCUAAUACCGGUACGGAAUCAUUGCUGCAUGGGGGGGGUUGGAAAGCUUCGGAGGGUUUGGAUGGACUCGCGGCUUAUCGGCUUGUUGGUGGGGUAGGGGCUUACCAAGGCGGUGACGGGAAGCAGGCCUGAGGAGGCGACCGGCGACAUUGGGACUGAGAUACGGCCCAGACUGCUACGGGAGGCAGCAGGGGGGAAUAUUGCACAAUGGGCGGAGGCCUGAUGAAGAAGCGCCGCGUGCGGGAUAACGGCCUUCGGGUUGUAGAACGCUUUCAGCAGGAGCGAAGCUUGUGGUGACGGUACCUGCAGAAGAAGCACCGGCUAACUACGUG